GGGUUUGUAACGAUGUCGACUUGGAGGUUGUGCCCUUGAGGCGUGGCUUCCGGAGCUAACGCGUUAAGUCGACCGCCUGGGGAGUACGGCCGCAAGGUUAAAACUCAAAUGAAUUGACGGGGGCCCGCACAAGCGGUGGAGCAUGUGGUUUAAUUCGAUGCAACGCGAAGAACCUUACCUACUCUUGACAUCCAGAGAAUUUGGCAGAGAUGCUUUGGUGCCUUCGGGAACUCUGAGACAGGUGCUGCAUGGCUGUCGUCAGCUCGUGUUGUGAAAUGUUGGGUUAAGUCCCGCAACGAGCGCAACCCUUAUCCUUUGUUGCCAGCGAUUCGGUCGGGAACUCAAAGGAGACUGCCAGUGAUAAACUGGAGGAAGGUGGGGAUGACGUCAAGUCAUCAUGGCCCUUACGAGUAGGGCUACACACGUGCUACAAUGGCAUAUACAAAGAGAAGCGACCUCGCGAGAGCAAGCGGACCUCAUAAAGUAUGUCGUAGUCCGGAUCGGAGUCUGCAACUCGACUCCGUGAAGUCGGAAUCGCUAGUAAUCGUGGAUCAGAAUGCCACGGUGAAUACGUUCCCGGGCCUUGUACACACCGCCCGUCACACCAUGGGAGUGGGUUGCAAAAGAAGUAGGUAGCUUAACCUUCGGGAGGGCGCUUACCACUUUGUGAUUCAUGACUGGGGUGAAGUCGUAAAAAGGGUAGCCCC
rnacentral:rRNA from 1 species